rnacentral:misc_RNA from 1 species
GAAGAACACAAGCAGUAGUUUCCAUUUUUUUGUCCAAAUCAAGGCAUUUGUUGCUGCCAUCAAUCACCGGAAUGUAAAAGAACAAGGGGUCUAUGGACACAGCAACCACGCAGGCUAGCACAAAUAUUUUGUUCCAUUUCUGGAGAAAAGGCCCCUGGGGAUCAAGAAUUUUCUUUCUUGUGCCUGAUUCUUUUGCUCUCUGAGCACCCCCAGAGUGGAAGCUUGAUGGUUUUCUCAGGUUUCUGAACUUGUCAGAACGUCUCUCCCAGUGUCGGAGGAUGCUAUACCAAACCGCGAUUACAGUUGGUCUGACUCUUCUUGUAUAAAAUCCAUCAUCAAUGGAGUAU